rnacentral:rRNA from 1 species
AUACGGAGGAUGCGAGCGUUAUCCGGAUUUAUUGGGUUUAAAGGGUGCGUAGGCGGACGAUUAAGUCAGCGGUGAAAGUUUGUCGCUCAACGAUAAAAUUGCCGUUGAUACUGGUUUACUUGAGUAUAGUUGAAGUAGGCGGAAUGCGUGGUGUAGCGGUGAAAUGCAUAGAUAUCACGCAGAACUCCGAUUGCGAAGGCAGCUUACUAAGUUAUAACUGACACUGAAGCACGAAAGCGUGGGUAUCAAACAGGAUUAGAUACCCUGGUAGUCCACGCAGUAAACGAUGAUUACUAGCUGUUUGCGAUAUACAGUAAGAGGCACAGCGAAAGCGUUAAGUAAUCCACCUGGGGAGUACGCCGGCAACGGUGAAACUCAAAUGAAUUGACGGGG